rnacentral:rRNA from 1 species
ACGCGAAGAACCUUACCAACUCUUGACAUCCUUUGACCACUCUAGAGAUAGAGUUUUCCCCUUCGGGGGACAAAGUGACAGGUGGUGCAUGGUUGUCGUCAGCUCGUGUCCUGAGAUGUUGGGUUAAGUCCCGCAACGAGCGCAACCCUUAAACUUAGUUGCCAGCAUUUAGUUGGGCACUCUAGGUUGACUGCCGGUGACAAACCGGAGGAAGGUGGGGAUGACGUCAAAUCAUCAUGGCCCUUAUGAUU